UCAGGUUGUAGUAUAAGUCAUGUAUGGAUGGAUUCCUGUAGAACCAGGCUUCUGCAAUGACAUUCCUGCUCGCAUCCACAUCCGGCAGCUGCCACACUCGAAGCGUUCAUCGUAACCUGCAAUGAUAAUAUAAGUAUAUUCCACAUUUCGUUUAGAUAAAAGUUAUGGGGUUAUUUAUUGAUAUAAAACGUGUUUUAGUUGAUCUUACAGGUUACAAAGGCGAAGAAUUUACGACGAAUCUCGAACAAACAGUACAGAACAACAGCUGACGUUCUUCAAAUAAGUAAUGCAGCUUCAAAUACAGCUGAAAAAUGAAGGUUAUCAGGAAACACAAACAGUUUCUUCGUAAAAGUUUUCUACAGUUCUGAAUUUUAUUUUAACAUGCACAAAAGCGACACGGCUAUCUAUC